CUACACAUGCAGUCGAGCGGAACGACACUAACAAUCCUUCGGGUGCGUUAAUGGGCGUCGAGCGGCGGACGGGUGAGUAAUGCCUAGGAAAUUGCCUUGAUGUGGGGGAUAACCAUUGGAAACGAUGGCUAAUACCGCAUAAUGCCUACGGGCCAAAGAGGGGGAUCUUCGGACCUCUCGCGUCAAGAUAUGCCUAGGUGGGAUUAGCUAGUUGGUGAGGUAAUGGCUCACCAAGGCGACGAUCCCUAGCUGGUCUGAGAGGAUGAUCAGCCACACUGGAACUGAGACACGGUCCAGACUCCUACGGGAGGCAGCAGUGGGGAAUAUUGCACAAUGGGCGAAAGCCUGAUGCAGCCAUGCCGCGUGUAUGAAGAAGGCCUUCGGGUUGUAAAGUACUUUCAGUUGUGAGGAAGGGUGUGUAGUUAAUAGCUGCGCAUCUUGACGUUAGCAACAGAAGAAGCACCGGCUAACUCCGUGCCAGCAGCCGCGGUAAUACGGAGGGUGCGAGCGUUAAUCGGAAUUACUGGGCGUAAAGCGCAUGCAGGUGGUUCAUUAAGUCAGAUGUGAAAGCCCGGGGCUCAACCUCGGAACUGCAUUUGAAACUGGUGAACUAGAGUGCUGUAGAGGGGGGUAGAAUUUCAGGUGUAGCGGUGAAAUGCGUAGAGAUCUGAAGGAAUACCAGUGGCG
rnacentral:rRNA from 1 species